rnacentral:rRNA from 1 species
AUCAAUAAGCGGAGGAAAAGAAAAUAACAAUGAUUUCCCUAGUAACGGCGAGUGAAGAGGAAAGAGCUCAAAGUUGGAACCUGUUUGGCCUAGCUAAACAGGAUUGUAAACUGUAGAAGUGGUUUUCCAGGCAAUCCGAGUUAAUAAGUCCUUUGGAACAGGGCAUCAUAGAGGGUGAGAAUCCCGUCUUUGAUUCGAGAAACUUUGCCUUUUGCGAUACACUUUCAAAGAGUCAGGUUGUUUGGGAAUGCAGCCUAAAUUGGGUGGUAAAUCUCACCUAAAGCUAAAUAUUGGCGAGAAACCGAUAGCGAACAAGUACCGUGAGGGAAAGAUGAAAAGAACUUUGAAAAGAGAGUUAAACAGUAUGUGAAAUUGUUAAAAGGGAACCGUUUGGAGCCAGACUGGCUUGUCUGUAAUCAAUCUAGGCUUUGGCCUGGAUGCACUUGCAGAUUAUGCCUGCCAACGACAAUUUGAUUUGAGGGAAAAAACUAGAGGAAAUGUGGCCAAUAUUUUUUUGUUGGUGUUAUAGUCCUUUAGAAAAUACCUUGGAUUGGAUUGAGGAACGCAGCGAAUGCUCUCUUUUUGGGGAGGGCGAGUCUUUGAUAAGUCUUUACGGAUAUGACUGGAGUUAAAAAGACCAGAAGUUGAAGUUUAAACUUGUUUUUAUGUACUUUAAUUCGCUUAGGUUGUUGGCUUAAUGACUCUAAAUGAC